rnacentral:rRNA from 1 species
UGGGGAAUAUUGCACGAUGGGCGCAAGCCUGAUGCAGCCAUGCCGCGUGUAUGAAGAAGGCCUUCGGGUUGUAAAGUACUUUCAGUCGGGAGGAAGGUGGUAAGGUUAAUAACCUUAUCAAUUGACGUUACCGACAGAAGAAGCACCGGCUAACUCCGUGCCAGCAGCCGCGGUAAUACGGAGGGUGCAAGCGUUAAUCGGAAUUACUGGGCGUAAAGCGCACGCAGGCGGUUGAUUGAGUCAGAUGUGAAAUCCCCGGGCUUAACCCGGGAAUUGCAUCUGAUACUGGCAAGCUUGAGUCUCGUAGAGGGGGGUAGAAUUCCAGGUGUAGCGGUGAAAUGCGUAGAGAUCUGGAGGAAUACCGGUGGCGAAGGCGGCCCCCUGGACGAAGACUGACGCUCAGGUGCGAAAGCGUGGGGAGCAAACAGG